CACCAACGAAUGUAUUCUGAACCUGAUCUGAAAGAAAGACUUGUCCACGAUCCACCUGUGCUAAUUUGAAUGUUCCAACGUCACCAAGGGCGGUAGCCUAGCCUACUUACAACAGGUGUGUCUUCACACUAUGCGUUGCGCUGCAUUUGGUGCGAGUUCUUCCGCUACUUUCAUAAAACUGGUAUUACAACAAUGGACCUGAGAUGCCUAGGUGGAUGUGUGCCGUUAUUUUCUCUCGCGAUUGUUUUUGACAUUGUAGGAGUAGUUAUUCUCUUCAUUGGGAUAUUUGCAGAUUUGCGAUUAGAUGGUCAGUUUUACGGCGACUUUUUGAUCUACAGUGGCUCGCUCAUUCUUUUUUCCAGCCUGGCGUGGUGGAUCAUGUGGUAUGUGGGUAACAUAAAAGUUUCCACUGAGGGAUCAAGGAGAGACUCUGUAGUGAGUCAAAAGCACAGUUUCAAACAGCUGGCAAGAAAAUUAACCGAACGGCUGUCCAAGAGUCACCAUAAAGGCGAGGGGAACGAUGUUUUUAAGUCACCAGGGAAGGAAGACCUGACAAAGAAGAAGGAACACACAUCUGACCAUCAUGUCGCCUCCCGAAUUACCUGGGGCAAGUCCACCUGCUACGAGAACAAAGGCUAUGAUAACUACAGCGAGUCCGUUACCAGUUCGAAAAACACAGAGGAGACGGAAGCGGACUUGAAGAUAGGAAAGAUUGAACGUCUCCUCUAAGCUGAGGCUACUCCAGCAAUACACAAGCCUGCUGAGGAUGUUGACUUUAAACACAUUGUCUACAUUUAUUACAGUGCCAUCUCUAUAUUCUCAUCAUAUUGUAUAUACUAUAUGAUUGUAUUGAUUUUUAAGCAGGGACGAAAAGACAGCAUGGGUAUUUCAAAUUGUGUAAUUAGUUUAUGUGUGAAGUAAUUGAACAGAGGUGGUUUUUGCUGCUUUGAAUGUUCCAUUCUUACCAUGGGUGGUUCUCUCAGUAGGUGCCUUUAGAAUUGUAUGAGAGAGGUAUUGUGCUUAGUUUUCACACUGGUUCAGAAAACUGACAGAAGCCAUAUUGGACUGACAAAAAAUGAAUUAUGUUGCUAUGCUUUAGUUUGUUUCAUUGUAUUUGUAAAAUAAAUGGCUUAAUGGCUUAAUUUUCAUCAUGAAGUUCAGUAGACUGUAUAUGUGCAAUGGAGGAAAAGUGUCCCUGUUUUUCAAAACUGCACUGCGCUUUGCCUUUGUUGUCAGUUAAAUCUAAUUUCAAAUCCUUAUUUUUGUAUUAUGUUUCCCAAGUGAUUUAACUCUUUGAUUUAUGUGAUAAAUGUAACACAAGAUUCCUUCCAAAUAAAGGCAACAUUUUACUGUA